rnacentral:rRNA from 1 species
UACGAAGGGGGCUAGCGUUGCUCGGAAUUACUGGGCGUAAAGGGCGCGUAGGCGGCAAUUCAAGUCAUCUGUGAAAUCUCCGGGCUUAACUCGGAACGGUCAGAUGAUACUGCUUUGCUAGAGUGCAGAAGGGGCAAUCGGAAUUCUCGGCGUAGCGGUGAAAUGCGUAGAUAUCGAGAGGAACACCUGAGGUGAAGACGGGUUGCUGGGCUGACACUGACGCUGAAGCGCGAAAGCCAGGGGAGCAAACGGG